rnacentral:rRNA from 1 species
AGUACGGCGAGUGAAGCGGGAAGAGCUCAAAUUUGAAAUCUGGUGGCCUCAGGUCAUCCGAGUUGUAAUCUAUAGAAACGUUUUCCGUGCUGGCUCAUGUACAAGUCCCUUGGAACAGGGCGUCAUAGAGGGUGAGAAUCCCGUCCUUGACAUGAACUACCAGUGCUCUGUGAUACGUUUUCAACGAGUCGAGUUGUUUGGGAAUGCAGCUCAAAAUGGGUGGUAAAUUCCAUCUAAAGCUAAAUAUUGG